rnacentral:rRNA from 1 species
UACGUAGGGGGCUAGCGUUGUCCGGAAUCAUUGGGCGUAAAGAGCGUGUAGGCGGCCCGGUAAGUCCGCUGUGAAAGUCGGGGGCUCAACCCUCGAAUGCCGGUGGAUACUGUCGGGCUAGAGUGCGGUAGAGGAGAGUGGAAUUCCCGGUGUAGCAGUGAAAUGCGUAGAGAUCGGGAGGAACAUCAGUUGCGAAGGCGGCUCUCUGGACCAGCACUGACACUGAGGCACGAAAGCGUGGGGAGCAAACAGG